rnacentral:rRNA from 1 species
UGAACGCUGGCGGCGUGCUUAACACAUGCAAGUCGAACGAACCUUCGGGUUAGUGGCGGACGGGUGAGUAACGCGUGGGAAUCUGCCCUCAGGAGGGGGAUAACGGCCGGAAACGACCGCUAAUACCCCAUAUGCCGAGAGGUGAAAUGAAUUUCGCCUGAGGAUGAGCCCGCGUCUGAUUAGCUAGUUGGUGAGGUAAGAGCUCACCAAGGCAUCGAUCAGUAGCUGGUCUGAGAGGAUGAUCAGCCACACUGGGACUGAGACACGGCCCAGACUCCUACGGGAGGCAGCAGUGGGGAAUUUUCCGCAAUGGGCGAAAGCCUGACGGAGCAACGCCGCGUGAGGGAUGAAGGCCUCUGGGCUGUAAACCUCUUUUAUCAAGGAAGAAGAUCUGACGGUACUUGAUGAAUAAGCCACGG